rnacentral:rRNA from 1 species
GACGAACGCUGGCGGCGUGCCUAAUACAUGCAAGUCGAACGCAUUUUCUUUCACCGUAGCUUGCUACACCGAAAGAAAAUGAGUGGCGAACGGGUGAGUAACACGUGGGUAACCUGCCCAUCAGCGGGGGAUAACACUUGGAAACAGGUGCUAAUACCGCAUAAUUCCAUUUACCGCAUGGUAGAUGGGUGAAAGGCGCUUUUGCGUCACUGAUGGAUGGACCCGCGGUGCAUUAGCUAGUUGGUGGGGUAACGGCCUACCAAGGCUGCGAUGCAUGGCCGACCUGAGAGGGUGAUCGGCCACACUGGGACUGAGACACGGCCCAGACUCCUACGGGAGGCAGCAGUAGGGAAUCUUCGGCAAUGGACGCAAGUCUGACCGAGCAACGCCGCGUGAGUGAAGAAGGGUUUCGGAUCGUAAAACUCUGUUGUUAGAGAAGAACAAGGAUGAGAGUGGAAAGUUCAUCCCUUGACGGUAGCUAACCAGAAAGCCACGGCUAACUACGUG